rnacentral:piRNA from 1 species
UAAGAAAUGUUACUUGGGUUAUGGUCAAUU